rnacentral:rRNA from 1 species
AGUGAACGCUGGCGGUAGGCCUAACACAUGCAAGUCGAACGGCAGCACAGUAAGAGCUUGCUCUUACGGGUGGCGAGUGGCGGACGGGUGAGGAAUACAUCGGAAUCUACUUUUUCGUGGGGGAUAACGUAGGGAAACUUACGCUAAUACCGCAUACGACCUACGGGUGAAAGCAGGGGAUCUUCGGACCUUGCGCGAUUGAAUGAGCCGAUGUCGGAUUAGCUAGUUGGCGGGGUAAAGGCCCACCAAGGCGACGAUCCGUAGCUGGUCUGAGAGGAUGAUCAGCCACACUGGAACUGAGACACGGUCCAGACUCCUACGGGAGGCAGCAGUGGGGAAUAUUGGACAAUGGGCGCGAGCCUGAUCCAGCCAUACCGCGUGGGUGAAGAAGGCCUUCGGGUUGGAAAGCCCUUUUGUUGGGAAAGAAAAGCAGCAGGUUAAUACCCCGCUGUUCUGACGGUACCCAAAGAAUAAGCACCGGCUAACUUCGUG